GCCCCGGGAAAGGAGUGUGCACGCGCUUCGGGUGCGUGAAGGUGGAGGGUGAGAAGGCUAGCACUCCUUGCGCUGGCCUCCGUCACGUUUCUAUCGGCUGUGGGGAAUUGGGAAGAAGAGCUUUGAGCCACUCGCUCUGCCAGGUAAUGUGGCUACGACACGGCCCGCUGUAGCGCCGGGCCUGAGUCUUAAAUCUGAGGUUAAUUCUGAACGAUGCUCCGGCUUGCGGCCCCCUUCGCCUGGCCCCGGCCGAACCACAGAGCCCUAUUCAGGCUUUGAGGGACUGAAGAGCUCAAGCGGCGCCCUUUGCCAAGUCCAUGCAUACCACCGCUUCCGCCAGACACUCGGGUCUCUGAGGCACCUACUCUGAGAGCUCCAAAGAGAGGCUGAGGCCAGUUCUCCCCUUUCCCAAGAAGAGUCUGAGACUGAAACCUUGAUGCUGAGAACACCUUUCCCCUUUCUGAUGCAAGCAGCUUGCAGAUUGUUAAUGCCGGAGCCUGAGGCAAGAAUGUCACAGACCUUUCCCAGGUGUUUGUUAAGGUUCUCCCAACAGGACGAUAAACUCAUCUGGAAGGCAGAGGGCCUGCCCAUUCAUAAACCUGUUGAUGUGGUCCCCAGAGUGCAACUCACUCUUGCAGAUGGAGCAGUCAUUUUGAGAGCAUGAAGAUGAAGAUACGUGAAAAAGCCAGAAGGAUUCUGGUCUCUCAAGUGCUAAAAAGGAGGAGUUGAGAAGAACUGGACCAAACAGCAGGUUGAGAGUACCCACAUCUGCCAAAGGGGCAGGGGGCUCAGAUGAAAUGAACAAAGUCAUGGCCCUCACGGGGUUCAGCUUCAUUGGAAAGACAGACCAGAAACCAACUCAUGACCAUGGGGAGAGCACCAUGAGGGUAUGGACAUGCUGCACGGACCCUAAAGGAGCAUGUUCUGAACUUGACUUGAGCUGAGCUGAGCCGGGGCGAAGGGGAGGCAGCCAAGGCAGACAUCUGAGAGGAGGUGCUGGCCCUGCAGCCACCUUUUAAAAGACGGUGUAAAACAUGGCUGUCUGUGCGGCGUGUGGAAGCAGGAAAGCGGGUGAGGUCGUGUCCGGGGCCGGAGCACAGUGUGCCUCAAGAGAGAGACCAGACAUCCCGUAAGAGGCAGAGAAGGCCCAUCGCUUUAAAAGCCUCAAGCGCAAUGCCAAGGAAUUCUAUCUUUAUUCUAAAACGAAUGGGCAGUCAUUAAAGGAUACUAAGCAGAAAAAUGCAUUGACUAGACAUGCAUGUUGGAAAAUGUACUUUGAUCAAAUUUGGUGUUGUUUAUGGUCAUUUCUAUAAAGUAUUUGG
rnacentral:lncRNA from 1 species